rnacentral:rRNA from 1 species
AUUGAACGCUGGCGGCAGGCCUAACACAUGCAAGUCGAGCGGAUGAAGGGAGCUUGCUCCUGGAUUCAGCGGCGGACGGGUGAGUAAUGCCUAGGAAUCUGCCUGGUAGUGGGGGAUAACGUCCGGAAACGGGCGCUAAUACCGCAUACGUCCUGAGGGAGAAAGUGGGGGAUCUUCGGACCUCACGCUAUCAGAUGAGCCUAGGUCGGAUUAGCUAGUUGGUGGGGUAAAGGCCUACCAAGGCGACGAUCCGUAACUGGUCUGCGAGGAUGAUCAGUCACACUGGAACUGAGACACGGUCCAGACCCCUACGGGAGGCAGCAGUGGGGAAUAUUGGACAAUGGGCGAAAGCCUGAUCCAGCCAUGCCGCGUGUGUGAAGAAGGUCUUCGGAUUGUAAAGCACUUUAAGUUGGGAGGAAGGGCAGUAAGUUAAUACCUUGCUGUUUUGACGGUACCAACAGAAUAAGCACCGGCUAACUUCGUG